rnacentral:sRNA from 1 species
GGCGAACCAUCCAAUACCAAUGUCCCAGUACCCGACGGAGACAUUACACCAGUGGACACACCCAUUAAA